rnacentral:tRNA from 2 species
GGAUCUUUAGCUCAGAUGGUUAGAGCAACCGGCUCAUAACCGGUUGGUCCGGGGUUCGAGUCCCUGAAGGUCCACCA